AUGAUCUCUGAGUACAAGGACCCUGGUUUUACUACUGACCCCACAACUGAUGUCAGAGCUAGCCAGCCUGAGCACAUCAAUGCUCUGUACCCUAUUUCACAUUUCAAAAAGAGGGGAACAACAGCAACUCUCCUCGAGAAAGAUUGUGAGGAUUCUAGCUCCACGGAGACGGGGGAAAGGAGGCGUCAUGGGCACCUGGUCUAAAUUCCGUCCAAUGGCUGUUUGCCCUUCAUCGCUUCCUCCAGGAGGAGGUUGCCAUCGAUUCCGCUCAGAAGACGGCAUGAAAAAGAAAAGCAGCACGAUGAAGUGAAGGGAGGACAGACAUGGAAGGCAGACAGAUCUGGCUUUGAACUUCAGGUUCACCAUUUAUGUGACCUUGAGAAAUGUCCUUCUCUCAACGUGCGUUUCAUUUGGUCAUAUUAAGUGUCUUCAACGUGACGCCGCAGUACAGAGAAUGGGACACAGUCUGGGGUUUAAAGUGGGCAGAUGAAAGUUCAAUAUGUUCACCCUUUUCAAAAAUAUUUUAAAUAAAAUGAUAGAAAACUUUUAUUUAAGAAUCUUCUCUCAUCUUUUUCCUGAUGCUAAGUGAGCCAAAAACCUCAGGAGAAGGCACAGUUGAAAGAGCGUGGGAGUGGGAGGAGCCGGCUUCCUCCGGUCAGGGCCACGUUCUCCCACCAACCAGCCGGCUGACUUAAAGUGUGUCACUUAACAUCUCUGAGCUGCAGUCUCCCUAUGUGCAGAAUGACAAGGCUUAAUUAGAAGAGCUGUAAGAUGGCUGAAAUUUCUCAUAUGCUAAGAUCUUAAGUUAACCUGGAUAGAUACACACCAGCAGGCAAGCAGCACUGUCUACUUUUAGGGGUCACUUUCUCAGAUUCCUUAUUCCAGGUCUACUAAAUAAUCUCAACAUGUUAGAGGAUUUUAUCGUAGAAACCUACAAAUGAAAGGCUAUCCUAUCAGUCACAAUAGGGUAGGCUAUGCUGCAGUAACAAAUACUCCCAAAUAUCCCGCUUUGUUUAUGCUAGCACUGCAUGUCCAUCCAGGGCAGCUGUUGUACUCUUCCACGGCUUCACUCCAGGACCUAGGCUGAUGGGGCAGUCUCUGUCUGGGCAUUGCUGUUCCAGCAGAGGGAAAGAAUACAUUUCAAACCACAAGCUGGCUCUUAAAACUACUGUGUGGAAGUUCCACACAUCAUCAUCCACACUUGAUUGGUCAAAGCAAGUCACGUGGCUUCUCCUGACUUCAACAAAGAGCAGAUCAAUAAUCAAUCCACCCGCAGGGAAAAGCGUGACUGGGAAAGAAAAUGGAACAGUUGGUGACCACUAGUACAGUCUCCCAGAGAUGCC